rnacentral:rRNA from 1 species
UGGGGAAUUUUGGACAAUGGGGGAAACCCUGAUCCAGCCAUCCCGCGUGUGCGAUGACGGCCUUCGGGUUGUAAAGCACUUUUGGCAGGAAAGAAACGUCAUGGGUUAAUACCCCGUGAAACUGACGGUACCUGCAGAAUAAGCACCGGCUAACUACGUGCCAGCAGCCGCGGUAAUACGUAGGGUGCAAGCGUUAAUCGGAAUUACUGGGCGUAAAGCGUGCGCAGGCGGUUCGGAAAGAAAGAUGUGAAAUCCCAGAGCUCAACUUUGGAACUGCAUUUUUAACUACCGGGCUAGAGUGUGUCAGAUGGAGGUGGAAUUCCGCGUGUAGCAGUGAAAUGCGUAGAUAUGCGGAGGAACACCGAUGGCGAAGGCAGCCUCCUGGGAUAACACUGACGCUCAUGCACGAAAGCGUGGGGAGCAAACAGG